rnacentral:lncRNA from 10 species
CUGUGGAAUCACAGGAAAUUGUCAAUGACCCUGUCCUGCUUCAAGUUGACUUUUCCCCCUCAUGGUGAGACUCUAGAUUCUUUCCUCUUCUCUCACAUUUUUUAGACUUUCAGGAUUAGACCAUGAAAAUAAGUUCUGUCCUUCCAAGAAAAUAACGUUCAUAACACUUACUAUAUACCAGGCUGAUUUCAGUGCUUUACAUGUAUUAAUUUACAACAACUCUGAGGCAGGAGCUGUGAUUACGCCCAUUUAACAGAUGACAAAACUGAGGCACAAAGCAGUGCUGGAACUUCUCAAAGUCACACAGGUAGCAGGAGGCAGAGCUCGGAUUUGAACUCACUUUGGGUUCAGCAACUCACAGCUCUCACCUAUGACAUAAUAUUACUUCUGUUGUCAAAACACUUAGACCUGGAUUUCACAGGAAUCUUGUGCUUGCCUGGCUGCUAGGGAGGUUUUCAUCAUCUUCCUUAUCUCACAGUUCAAAACCCAGGGCCUCCAUGCUCUUGCUCUGGUGACCGUUCACUGGCAGGAGGCUUCUGGGAAGGUUCUCCUUUUCUGUCAUUUUUCUUAUUCGUGGUUUUUUGUUUCAUUGGUGUUUAUCUGCAGAACUUUGUUUCCUUCUGCUCAAUUCAUAAUCAGAGUGCUUUUCCUCCUGGCUCAAUUCAUAAGUGUUUAUGUAAAAAGAGGUUGGGCACAGAGCCAGGCGACUGAGGACACCCGGCUCAUCUGGCAAGUGGAUAUCAAAUUGUUGUAUCUCGUUCUGCCAUUCCCGGCUCCUGCUGUGGGGCUGGGUCAUCUGCCAGCUCUCCAAGGAGCUGGUGGGAAACCACUGCAAUCAGAGCGAACCGCUGCCCGGGUGAGCCCGCCUAGGCACAGCACUCCAGCUGCCCCCAGUGCCUUUUGGGGACACAUCUGCAUUGCCAGGUAGGGCUGUGGGAGGGUCGCCUGCCUCCUGUCCAUCACAGGGAGAACCUACCCUUGUCCCGCGUCCCUUCCAGGCAGGCUGUGUGGGGAUUGCUGAGUUCACCUUUAAUAUGGCUAAAAUGUUUUCCUUCAAUGACAGUAAUGCUGCCAGAACCCAUCAAGACACCCAGGAACUGAUGUGCCUUGGCAGAUGAUGCUGGAAAGAUGGGAUUCCCGGCAGCCCUUGCAUCUGUUGCUCACAGCCCACAAGCAUCUCCACUGUCCAGCAGGCAGAGAGCUGAUCAAAACAGCAAAAGCAAAGCAGUGCCCCUGGCCCAGUUCUGAAGCCAACCUUCCUUAAUCACCCAGACCCAUCCCUGGUUAGGACUUGCUGUGGAUUCUCACGUGACUCCAUCUCAGG